GACGAACGCUGGCGGCGUGCUUAACACAUGCAAGUCGAACGGAAAGGCCCUGCUUUUGUGGGGUGCUCGAGUGGCGAACGGGUGAGUAACACGUGAGUAACCUGCCCUUGACUUUGGGAUAACUUCAGGAAACUGGGGCUAAUACCGGAUAGGAGCUCCUGCUGCAUGGUGGGGGUUGGAAAGUUUCGGCGGUUGGGGAUGGACGCGCGGCUUAUCAGCUUGUUGGUGGGGUAGUGGCUUACCAAGGCUUUGACGGGUAGCCGGCCUGAGAGGGUGACCGGCGACAUUGGGACUGAGAUACGGACCAGACUCCUACGGGAGGCAGCAGUGGGGAGUAUUGCACAAUGGGCGGAAGCCUGAUGCAGCAACGCCGCGUGCGGGAUGACGGCCUUCGGGUUGUAAACCGCUUUCGCCUGUGACGAAGCGUGAGUGACGGUAAUGGGUAAAGAAGCACCGGCUAACUACGUG
rnacentral:rRNA from 1 species